rfam:Salicola phage CGphi29 genomic sequence.
CCCGCCAUGCCUCUCAACGAUGCACACUUUGGCGGGU